rnacentral:rRNA from 1 species
GACGAACGCUGGCGGCGUGCCUAAUACAUGCAAGUCGAACGCUUCUUUUUCCACCGGAGCUUGCUCCACCGGAAAAAGAGGAGUGGCGAACGGGUGAGUAACACGUGGGUAACCUGCCCAUCAGAAGGGGAUAACACUUGGAAACAGGUGCUAAUACCGUAUAACAAUCGAAACCGCAUGGUUUUGAUUUGAAAGGCGCUUUCGGGUGUCGCUGAUGGAUGGACCCGCGGUGCAUUAGCUAGUUGGUGAGGUAACGGCUCACCAAGGCCACGAUGCAUAGCCGACCUGGGAGGGUGAUCGGCCACAUUGGGACUGAGACACGGCCCAAACUCCUACGGGAGGCAGCAGUAGGGAAUCUUCGGCAAUGGACGAAAGUCUGACCGAGCAACGCCGCGUGAGUGAAGAAGGUUUUCGGAUCGUAAAACUCUGUUGUUAGAGAAGAACAAGGAUGAGAGUAACUGUUCAUCCCUUGACGGUAUCUAACCAGAAAGCCACGGCUAACUACGUGCCAGCCGCCGCAGUAA